UACGGAGGGUGCAAGCGUUAUCCGGAUUUACUGGGUUUAAAGGGUGCGUAGGUGGGUCUGUAAGUCAGUGGUGAAAUCUCCGGGCUUAACCCGGAAAUUGCCAUUGAUACUAUAGGUCUUGAAUCAUCUGGAGGUAAGCGGAAUAUGUCAUGUAGCGGUGAAAUGCUUAGAUAUGACAUAGAACACCAAUUGCGAAGGCAGCUUACUACGGAUGUAUUGACACUGAGGCACGAAAGCGUUGGGGAUCAAACAGG
rnacentral:rRNA from 1 species